AUUGAACGCUGGCGGCAUGCCUUACACAUGCAAGUCGAACGGCAGCACGGGGGCAACCCUGGUGGCGAGUGGCGAACGGGUGAGUAAUACAUCGGAACGUGUCCUGUAGUGGGGGAUAGCCCGGCGAAAGCCGGAUUAAUACCGCAUACGCUCUACGGAGGAAAGGGGGGGAUCUUAGGACCUCCCGCUACAGGGGCGGCCGAUGGCAGAUUAGCUAGUUGGUGGGGUAAAGGCCUACCAAGGCGACGAUCUGUAGCUGGUCUGAGAGGACGACCAGCCACACUGGGACUGAGACACGGCCCAGACUCCUAAGGGAGGCAGCAGUGGGGAAUUUUGGACAAUGGGGGCAACCCUGAUCCAGCAAUGCCGCGUGUGUGAAGAAGGCCUUCGGGUUGUAAAGCACUUUUGUCCGGAAAGAAAACGCCGUGGUUAAUACCCGUGGCGGAUGACGGUACCGGAAGAAUAAGCACCGGCUAACUACGUG
rnacentral:rRNA from 1 species